UGCGCCGCUAUUCAUGCAGGUGUGCCUGAUAUCAGGCAUGAAACGGAAAGCCGGUGCGCUCGCUCAGGUCGAGCAAUCCCGGCACUGCCCCCGCAACGGUAAUCGACCCCGAUCAUGGAUCGGCGUCCGCUCAAGACCACUGUGCCACGGCAUGGGAAGGUGAGCGGAUGGGCGUCGAGAGUCCGGAGGCCGGCCCGCAUGCAAUAUCGACUG
rnacentral:ncRNA from 16 species